rnacentral:RNase_P_RNA from 2 species
AGGGCCAGGCGAGUGGCCGCCCCUUCGGGGGAGGAAAGUCCGGGCUCCACAGGGCAGGACACCGGGGAAAUCCCGGCUCCGGCAACGGAGAGAACGUGCCACAGAAACGAUACCGCCCCCGUUCUGAACCGAUUCACACGGUUACAGAACACCAUGAACGGGGGUAAGGGUGAAAAGGUGGGGUAAGAGCCCACCGGGAUGCCGGUAACGGCAUCCGCACGGCAAACCUUGUCCGGUGCAAGGCCUAAUAGGGAGGACAGCUGGUCGGGCUAAGCCCGUCCGGCAGGGAGCUGCCCGUUCCCGCGCCUCCGGGUUGGCCGCUAGAGUUGCCAGGCAACUGGCAUCCCAGACGGAUGGCCACUGGCUCUACGACCCCUGUUCGCUAGCGCGGCGGGGUGUCUAGGAGCUUGACAGAACCCGGCUUACAGCCUGACCCUCGCA